GCGUUGCUUAGUAGGGAGGAACCACGUGGAGCUCAGUGAGCUAAGAUGUAUACUAGAUAUGAAGUUAUUUACAGCGUUUUACCUGCUUAUGGCUAAGGAUAGGUAGCGAUGUGAGGCCAGUGUGGAGAAUGGCCUGCUGGGGCCAUCUUAGUCUUGAUGCUGGGAGCAUGGCCUGUUGCUGACACCAUGAGGACAGCGGAUGUGCUUGAACAGGCCAUGUUUCACAGGUGGCUGACUAAGGGGAUAUAAACAGCUUGACUAAUGAGUCAUUUCAUGUAAUGAAUGUGUGCUGCGUUGCAGAAAGCUCAGUAGAUCACUUUCAAAAUGUUCUUUAUCUGCUGUGAUUACCGAAAUACAGUGCACAGAAGGGAGUCCUGUUAUAUACAGGUUUCUAUUCAGAAUGCAUAGCUGAAAAAGCACGAAGCACACUUCUUUGUAUCACCUGUUUCUUGUUUAACAGUGGUGUCAGUACAAGCAUACUUUAUGUAAAGGUGUCCAUACCUGUGACCUUCAAAGGUCCUACAAAGAUCAGGGACACUCUUCUGUCCCUUUCUAAGUGUGUCUGCCAGUGCAGUCACACUUCUUCACAGUUAAGAGUUCUGUGACUUUUGCUCAGUGUCUAAGUUCACUUGUUUGCUUCUGAUUUGUCUUGAUUUGAAUAAAGUAAUCUU